rnacentral:rRNA from 1 species
CUACGGGUCGCACCAGUUAGGCAUAAUCUACAAUGCGCGAAAGCGUGAUAGUUUGAGUCAGAGUGUUUUUCAAAUGAAAUACUUUUGCCAAAUGUAAAAAGUUUGGCGAAUAAGGACUGGGUAAGACGAGUGCCAGCCGCCGCGGUAAUACUCGCGGUCCAAGUCGCAGCCAUUUUUAUUGGGUCUAAAACAUCCGUAGCUUGCUUUGUAAGUCCCUUGUGAAAUUUUAUCUCUCAAAGAUAGAGCGCGCAGGGGGUACUGCUAAGCUAGAGAUUGGGAGACGUAAGAAGUACGUUUAAAGUAUCGGUAAAAUGAGUUAAUCUUAAACGGACUAACAAUAGCGAAGGCAUCUUACGAGAACAGUUCUGACAGUAAGGGAUGAAAGCUAGGGGCGCAAAACGGAUUAGAUACCCCUGUAGUC